AGUGAACGCUGGCGGUAUGCCUAACACAUGCAAGUCGAACGGCAGCACGAUAAGAGUUGGCAGUUAGGUGUGGAGUGGGGCACGCGUGUGUGAUACAUCGCAAAAUGUACUGUUUCGGGGGAGAUAUAGUCGAGAGACUAACUCAUAUCGCACAUGCCCCGUAGGUGAGAGAGCGGGGGCGCUAGGGCCCUUGCGCGAGUGAAUGCGCCUAUGUCGGAUUAGCUAGUUGGCGGGGUAAAGGCUCACCAAGGCGACGAUCAGUAGCUGGUCUGAGAGGACGAUCAGCCACACUGGGACUGAGACACGGCCCAGACUCCUACGGGAGGCAGCAGUGGGGAAUUUUGGACAAUGGGCGAAAGCCUGAUCCAGCAAUGCCGCGUGUGUGAAGAAGGCCUUCGGGUUGUAAAGCACUUUUGUCCGGAAAGAAAUGGCUCUGGUUAAUACCUGGGGUCGAUGACGGUACCGGAAGAAUAAGGACCGGCUAACUACGUG
rnacentral:rRNA from 1 species